GAUGAACGCUAGCGGCAGGCCUAACACAUGCAAGUCGAGGGGUAGAAGUUUUCGGACUUUGAGACCGGCGCACGGGUGCGUAACGCGUAUGCAAUCUGCCUUGUACUGGGGGAUAGCCCAGAGAAAUUUGGAUUAAUACCCCAUAGUAUUUUCGGUUGGCAUCAACUGAUUAUUAAAGUUUUUCGGUACAAGAUGAGCAUGCGUCCCAUUAGCUAGUUGGUAUGGUAACGGCAUACCAAGGCUACGAUGGGUAGGGGUCCUGAGAGGGAGGUCCCCCAAACUGGUACUGGGACACGGACCAGACUCCUACGGGAGGCAGCAGUGAGGAAUAUUGGUCAAUGGUCGCAAGACUGAACCAGCCAUGCCGCGUGCAGGAUGAAGCAUCUAUGGUGUGUAAACUGCUUUUGUACGGGAAGAAACACUGCUACGUGUAGCAGCUUGACGGUACCGUAAGAAUAAGGAUCGGCUAACUCCGUGCCAGCAGCCGCGGUAAUAC
rnacentral:rRNA from 1 species